UUUCCUCACAGGACACUGCAUUUGACAGAGUCCUGGUAAAGUCCUUGACCCAGCAGCUGGUACAGGGAUGCAAGGAGGCGUCAAGACCAGCUUCUGCUGCAACAAACCCAUCAGACCAGGCUGAGACAGAGAGGGGGGCUGAGCAGAAAGCAAGAAGGAGCUUCCUUUGCUUUUCAAUGACCAAACUCAGGAUCAACUUCAAGCGUUCCAAGAGAGGAAACAAAAAGGACUGCCAUUCAGUCCAGGAACAGACUGAGAUUCCCUCUACUGACGGACAUUGCAUAGAUCCAGCCCCUGACGGUGGCCCUGACCCAGACUACAUCCCCAGGUCCAGAUGAUUCCAGCAGGCACAGCCACAGCCCAGGUGGUUCAGCAGAAGCUCCUCCAGCAGCAGGUGGUGACUGCAGCUGCCUCGCUUCAGAUACAGACCCCUCCUCCUCACAGCCCGGCCCAACAGGCCCCAGUUUCCGCUGCAGCAGAGUCCCCAGUACAGCAGCAGCCAGCCAAGGGCCAGGCUCACAGAGGGGCCAUGAGGGGCAAGACCCAGGCCAAGCCCAGCGGGGGCAGCAGCUAGGUGCCCACAGGACUAGUUAGAGCUCCCCUUUCAGCUAGGCUAAGCAGAACAUCUCAUCAGUGUAAAUGCAUUCAGUGACUGAGGAGCAGCAUUAUGAAGAGAUCCAGGGUUAUGAAGGAGUGGUGGAGUCCAGUCUGAGGUGGCUGUGUUGAAUCUAACCUGGUUUAAGGAACUGCUCCAUGUAAAGGAAUGACCUGUCUUUUAAGAGUGUCAUCAUCUAUCUUCAACACAGUAACUGUCGGCUGUUUCCUUAGCGACUGUUUCAGAAGGUCUCCCCUGGACCAACAUCCAGGGGGAGGUUUAAGAUCAGAAAAGCAGAAAAACAAUAUUCAUGGAUUUUUUUAAAUGAAUGAAUAUAUUAAUGUUACUCCAUAGAUAUCCUGUGGCUAUGGGCUGGUGCAUAGCUCAUUUGGGGAAUGUCCAUUUGAAUAAUGUUUUGUGUAUUCAUACAUUGUCCCUGUCCGUCUUGAUGAUAUUAUUCUCAUGCUUACCGUUUAUGUCUGUAAUUUCAUAGUUGGUAGAUAUAGAAAACACCCUUCUUGUUAAAAAAAAGGUAUCUUGAUAAAGUAAUGCAUAUUAAUGAGACUACAUCUCAGUAGUACAGAUGCAUUGCAUUGCCUACCAGAACGAUAAAGGUGGGGGGACUUCCGUCCUCAUGCUAAUUGUCAUUGUGAAAGUUAUUCACAGACAUCAAAGCCCUGAGUCAUUAGUGAAUGCAUUUUUACCUGUGGAAACACAUUCACAUAACUCUUUUCAAUGUAUCAAUUUAACAUUGACAGAAGUGUCCCUAAAAGUUAUCUCCUUAAUUGUUUGCAUAAGAGGGAGCUUGACUCUUAAAUGUAACAUUUAGUUUUUUUUUGUAACCUUCAGAUAUUUAAUGGAUAAUAAUGCAUUUUCCUUUCAGUCUAUUAUGUUUAUGUAACAAAUACACUGUAAACAUGUACUUUAGUAUAUUGUGUUUUCUCAUAAAUAUGCCAUUUUUAAAUUGAUGUUGAAGAAAAAAAAACUGUAAAUAACAAUGAAUAAGGAAAACAUUUGUACUUGUAAAGUAGUUGUGUUUUCAUUGGAUUUUUUCAGCCUAAUUGUAAUA